rnacentral:rRNA from 1 species
UACGUAGGGCGCAAGCGUUGUCCGGAUUUACUGGGCGUAAAGGGCGCGUAGGCGGCUUGACAAGUCACUUGUGAAAUCUCCGGGCUUAACUCGGAACGGCCAAGUGAAACUGUCAUGCUAGAGUGCAGAAGGGGCAAUCGGAAUUCUUGGUGUAGCGGUGAAAUGCGUAGAUAUCAAGAGGAACACCUGAGGUGAAGACGGGUUGCUGGGCUGACACUGACGCUGAGGCGCGAAAGCCAGGGGAGCAAACGGG